rnacentral:rRNA from 1 species
CGCGUGAGUGCGAAGGUCUUCGGAUUGUAAAGCUCUUUUGGCGGGGACGAUAAUGACGGUACCCGCAGAAUAAGCCCCGGCUAACUUCGUGCCAGCAGCCGCGGUAAUACGAAGGGGGCUAGCGUUGUUCGGAAUCACUGGGCGUAAAGCGCACGUAGGCGGAUGUGUCAGUCAGGGGUGAAAUCCCGGGGCUCAACCUCGGAACUGCCUCUGAUACAACACGUCUUGAGUCCGGAAGAGGUGGGUGGAAUUCCUAGUGUAGAGGUGAAAUUCGUAGAUAUUAGGAAGAACACCGGUGGCGAAGCGACCCACUGGUCCGGUACUGACGCUGAGGUGCGAAAGCGUGGGGAGCAAACAGGGAUUAGAUACCCUGGUAGUCCACGCCUUAACGAUGGAUGCUA